rnacentral:rRNA from 1 species
GACGAACGCUGGCGGCGUGCUUAACACAUGCAAGUCGAACGGAAAGGCCCUGCGUUUGUGGGGUGCUCGAGUGGCGAACGGGUGAGUAAAACGUGAGUAAACUGCCCUUGUCAUUGGGAUAACUUCAGGAAACAGGGGCUAAUACCGGAUAGGAGCUCCUGCUGCAUGGUGGGGGUUGGAAAGUUUCGGUGUUGGGGGCAGGACUCGCGGCGUCGCAGCUAGUUGGUGGGGUAGUGGGUUAACAAGGCGUUCAAGGGUAGCCGACGUGUGAGGGUGAUCGGCCACCUGGGAAGUGGGACACGGACCAGGGUCCUGCGGGAGGCAGCAGAAGGGAAUCGUCGGCAGUGGGCGAAAGCCUGACGGAGCAAGGCGGAGUGAGUGACGACGGCCCCCGGUGCGGAAAACCCUGUUACGGGGUAAGAACAACUGUGGACGGAAACGUGCCGGGAGUGACGGUAACGAGUAAGAAAGCCCCGGCUAACUACGUG